AUUUCCCUACGGGGGGCAGCAGUGGGGGAUAUUGCACAAUGGGGGGAACCCUGAUGCAGCGACGCCGCGUGGGUGAAGGAGCGUUUCGGCGCGUAAAGCCCUAUCGGCAGGGAAGAAGAUGACGGUACCUGACCAAGAAGCCCCGGCUAACUACGUGCCAGCAGCCGCGGUAAUACGUAGGGGGCAAGCGUUAUCCGGAUUUACUGGGUGUAAAGGGCGUGUAGCCGGGUUGACAAGUCAGAUGUGAAAUCCUGCGGCUUAACCG
rnacentral:rRNA from 1 species